UGGUCCAUCCUUUUGUCUUUUUUUUUUUUUUUUUUUUGAGACAGGGUUUUUCUGUGUAGCCCUGGCUGUCCUCGAACUCAGAAAUCUGACUGCCUCUGCCUCCGAGUUCUGGGAUUAAAGGUGUGCACCACCACGCCCGGCUGUUGUUUCCCUAAUUUCUUUCUCAGCCUGUUUAUCAUUUGUGUACAGAAAGGCCAUUGACUUGUUUGAGUUAAUUUUAUAUCCAGCUACUUCAUUGAGGUUUUAUCAGGCUUAGGAUUUUUUCUGAUUUUGGUACAGAAUUUAUUUUGAUAGAAAAUCAAGGUUUUCAUUUGUUCAAAUUUCUUCUAUUGUUACAA
rnacentral:lncRNA from 1 species